AACGAACGCUGGCGGCGUGGAUAAGACAUGCAAGCCGAACGCUGAACACGGGGUAGCAAUAUUCCGUGUUCGGAGUGGCGCAAGGGUGCGUAACACGUGGGUAAUCUGCCGCGAAGACCGGGAUAACUUGCUGAAAGGCGAGCUAAUACCGGAUGUGGAAUUUGGGAGGCAUCUUUUGAAUUCUGAAGCUGGGGACUGUAACAGGCCUGGCACUUCGCGAUGAGCCCGCGGCCUAUCAGCUAGUUGGUGAGGUAAUGGCUCACCAAGGCUAAGACGGGUAGCUGGUCUGAGAGGACGACCAGCCUCACUGGAACUGAGAGACGGUCCAGACACCUACGGGUGCAGCAGUCGAGUAAUUUUCACAAUGGGCGAAAGCCUGAUGGAGCGACGCCGCGGUGGGGAGUGAAGGGCUU
rnacentral:rRNA from 1 species